rnacentral:rRNA from 1 species
CCUACGGGAGGCAGCAGUAGGGAAUCUUCCACAAUGGGCGAAAGCCUGAUGGAGCAACGCCGCGUGGGUGAAGAAGGUCUUCGGAUCGUAAAACUCUGUUGUUAGAGAAGAAAGUGCGUGAGAGUAACUGUUCACGUUUCGACGGUAUCUAACCAGAAAGCCGCGGCUAACUACGUGCCAGCAGCCGCGGUAAUACGUAGGUGGCAAGCGUUAUCCGGAUUUAUUGGGGGGAAAGGGGACGCAGGCGGUCUUUUAAGGCUGAUGUGAAAGCCUUGGGCUUAACCGGAGUAGUGCAUUGGAAACUGGGAGACUUGAGUGCAGGAGAGGAGAGUGGAAGUCCAUGUGUAGCGGUGAAAUGCGUAGAUAUAUGGAAGAACACCAGUGGCGAAAGCGGCUCUCUGGUCUGUAACUGACGCUGAGGUUCGAAAGCGUGGGUAGCAAACAGGAUUAGAUACCCCAGUAGUC